CUUGGUAUGGUCUAGUGGUUAGGUUACCUGGCUUUUACCCAGGAGGAUCGGGUUAUAUUCCUGUUAUUGGGA